CCUACGGGUGGCAGCAGUGGGGAAUAUUGGGCAAUGGGCGCAAGCCUGACCCAGCAACGCCGCGUGAAGGAAGAAGGCUUUCGGGUUGUAAACUUCUUUUCUCAGGGACGAAACAAGUGACGGUACCUGAGGAAUAAGCCACGGCUAACUACGUGCCAGCAGCCGCGGUAAUACGUAGGUGGCAAGCGUUAUGCGGAUUGACUGGGUGUAAAGGGAGUGUAGGCGGGACUGCAAGUCAGAUGUGAAAACCCCGGGCUCAACCUGUGACCUGCAUUUGAAACUGUAGUUCUUGAGUACUGGAGAGGCAGACGGAAUUCCUAGUGUAGCGGUGAAAUGCGUAGAUAUUAGGAGGAACACCAGUGGCGAAGGCGGCUUGCUGGACAGCAACUGACGCUGAGGCGCGAAAGCGUGGGGAGCAAACAGGAUUAGAUACCCUUGUAGUC
rnacentral:rRNA from 1 species